rnacentral:rRNA from 1 species
UCAGCUCGCUAAAUACACAAUUACUCACUACCUGAAAUGUAGGGCCAUAGAGGGUGUAAGCCCCGUAGUAAAUUGUUGAGUAGGGGAACUCCCAAAGAGUCGGGUUGUUGGAAUUGCAACCCUAAGUGGGAGAUAUGAUCUUCCAAAGCUAAAUAUGGAUGGGAGACCGAUAGCGAACAAGUACUGUGAAGGAAAGAUGAAAAGGACUUUGAAAAGAGAGUGAAAAGAUCAAAUCGUUGAGGAGGAAGCGGUAAAAACUGAAAUAAUGAAAGUGCACGCUGUAAAAGAUUUCGGGCAAAAUCAAGUUGAGUGUGGCUAAGUCAUACUUAGCUUGAGGGAUUAAUGAUUUUGCCAAAAUGGUUUUUACCGUCGUCUUGAAACACGGACCAAGGAGUCUAACAUAUAUGCGAGUGUGCGAGUGAAAAACUCAUACGCGAAAUGAAAGUAAAAGAUGCUCUGUCAGCAUCGACCAGUAUGAGGGUUUGAGUAUGAGCAUAUCUGUUAGACCCGAAAGAUGGUGAACUAUUCCUGAGUAGAGCGAAGCAGGGGAAACCCUGAUCUCGUAGCCGUCCUAACGUGCAAAUUGGUGGUCAAACUUGGGUAUAGGGCGAAAGACUAAUCGAACCAUCUAGUAGCUGGUUCCCUCCGAAGUUUCCCUCAGGAUAGCUGGAACAGCAGUUUUAUCAGGUAAAGCGAAUGAUUAGAGGCAUCAGGGAGCUUUUUUCUGACCUAUUCUCAAACUCUAAAUGGUAAGAACUUUUUUAUCUUAACUGAACAUCAGACAGAUGCGGUUCCAAGUGGGCCAUUUUUGGUAAGCAGAACUGGCGAUGAGGGAUGAACCUAACGUCGAGUUAAGGUGCCAAACUAUACGCUCAUCAGAUACCACAAAAGGUGUUGAUCAUCUAAACAGCAGGGCGGUGGACAUAAAAGUCGUUACCCGCUAAGGAGUGUGUCAUGACUCACUGCCGAAUGAAUUAGCCCUGAAAAUGGAUGGCGCUAGUAUGACGAUACUCGACCAUCAAUACAAAAGAUAUUGAUGAGUAGGGGGCGUGGAUGUUAAAGCUUUUGGCGUGAGCCUGGGUAGAACGACAUCUAGUGCAGAUCUUGGUAGUAGCAAAUAGCCAAUUGGAAACGUUGGGGCCGAAGUGGAGAAGGGUUCAGAACAGUAAUUGGUCAGGGGUUACUCGGUCCUAAGAUCCUGGUUAACCCGUAUAAGGUGCUCUCCAGCACAGAAAGGGUCAGGUUGAAAUUCCUGAACUAAGUAGGAUGGCAACACAAACUAGCUCAGAGACGUCAGCACGGCUCCUGGAAGAGUUUUCUUUUCUUCUUAACAAGAAAUGGCCUUGAAAUUGGUUUACCCAGAGAGAGGCUAUAAG